rnacentral:lncRNA from 1 species
AGCCACGGGGAGCAGAGCACUUGGCAGCAGAGUUGGAUGUCAGGGGCUCAGGAGCAGAGGCACAGGGGAGAGAGGAAAUGGAGAGCGAAGGGGAAGAAUCUGAGGGCAGCGGAGGGCAGAAUGACAGUGACCCGAGAGAUUCGGAACUAGCAAAACACGCCUACAAAAUGCAGGCAGACAGGCACAGGAGAGUCGGGGAAGACAUCCAGGUGGGGGACUGGGUCUGGUUAGCAGCCCAGGCAGUGCCGGCCAGAACAUUAGCUAAGAAGAAGCUGGGACACAAGCAGCUAGGGCCUUACCAAGUCGAGGCACAAAUCAAUCCAGUGGCCUACCGGUUGACGCUCCCGGAGGGCUCCAGAAUGCACCCGGUCUUUCAUAGGUCAGUGCUCACACCCUACAAGGAACCCCACAGGUUUCAGGCACGAGGGGACGCACCAGACCCACUCAGCAAAUCGCCAACCGGGGAGGGGUCACCGAGGGUGGCGCCACUCAACGAGGUCACGGAGAUUUUAGACUCGAGAUGGGGGGAAGAGGGAGUUGAAUAUCUCCUCGCCAGGGAAGGUACCCCGGCCAGCGCCAACAGGUGGGUACCGUACUAUGCCGUGGAGGAGCACUACCUCAAAGACGAGUUCCAUGCACUCUUCCCACACAGACCUAUGCCGGCAGAUUUUUUCGACGACUGGCUUUUCACACCCACACUUUCAGCCAGCACGUUCCAGGGGUUCUCAUCAGCUGAGGAAACGCCGCCAGAAACAAGCUCCCCAGAGGGAUCACUCUCGGGGUUUGGCACAGACCGCUCUUAUUGGUGGGACAAUCAACCGGAGGUGGGGUGGAGCAGGGAACUGCAGAGGGGACCCUUGCACGCAGCAUCACCCGAGGUAACAGGGGGAGGGAAGGACAUGGACGUGUUGGGGAGGAUCCUGGGUUCGAGCACAACUGCAGAGAGAUGGAAGCAGAGGAGAUCGACGUCGACGAGCCCAUUACGGGCUGGCCGGAUCCAGCUGGCCGGCUGCACACCAGGGGGAAAGAACAGUAUCCCGCACUCACCCCCACAGCACUGGAGCACCCAGAACCCAC